rnacentral:rRNA from 1 species
CCUACGGGAGGCAGCAGUGAGGAAUAUUGGUCAAUGGACGAGAGUCUGAACCAGCCAAGUAGCGUGAAGGAUGACUGCCCUAUGGGUUGUAAACUUCUUUUAUAAAGGAAUAAAACGAGGCACGUGUGCCUGUUUGCAUGUACUUUAUGAAUAGGGAUCGGCUAACUCCGUGCCAGCAGCCGCGGUAAUACGGAGGAUCCGAGCGUUAUCCGGAUUUAUUGGGUUUAAAGGGAGCGUAGAUGGGUUGUUAAGUCAGUUGUGAAAGUUUGCGGCUCAACCGUAAAAUUGCAAUUGAUACUGGCAGUCUUGAGUACAGUUGAGGUAGGCGGAAUUCGUGGUGUAGCGGUGAAAUGCUUAGAUAUCACGAAGAACCCCGAUUGCGAAGGCAGCUUACUAAACUGUGACUGACAUUGAUGCUCGAAAGUGUGGGUAUCAAACAGGAUUAGAUACCCUUGUAGUC